CCUCCUCUUCCUCAGGUGAGCAGCUUCUCCUUCAUCUCUGAGUCUUGAUGUUUUCAGCAGACGGUUAUUUAGCAGCUUCUUCUUUCUAGAGAGACCCACCAUCAUCUCUGGCUCUCCAGACCCACCUGGUCCAGGUUCUUCAGCCUCCUUACUGUUUGUCCUGGUUGCAUCUGGCUGUGGUUUGGUUUUCCUGGUGUUGCUGGUUGUUCUGGUUUUACUGGUGAAACGACGAGUUCAUAACAAACCUGAAGACAAUAAAGGAGGAAGAGGAGACGAUGACGUCACUUACAGCGACAUCAGGACAUCCCAGAGUAAACAGAAGAAAACCAAACCAGGAGCAGGAAAUGCCAGUGAAGCAUCUGGAGUUUAUUCAGCAGUAAAAUCAGGAGAUGUGACUUACGGAGAGAUAGUCAUCAACGAGAAGAACCAGAAGAAAAAGCAGAGGUCAAAGGCCAGAGAUUGUGAAGCAGCUGGAGUUUAUUCAGCGGUAAAAACAGGAGAUGUGACGUAUGGAGAGAUAGUCAUCAAUGAGAAGAAGAAGAAGCAGCAGAGGUCAAAGGCCAGAGAGAAUCAACCAGACCCAAAUGUUCUCUACUCCUCACUGAGGCCGCCCAGAGCUGACCUCUGACCUCCAGCAGCUGUUGGCUUCUCAUCACUGAGUCGGAUCUGCCUCACUGGGAUCAGUGGAUUAAAUCACGUUUAUAACUGGUUUCCAGUAGCAGGUCAGGAAACCAGUAGCAUCAGCUAGGUGUUGAGCUAACGGCUAACAGCAGCCCGAGCUAAUGGCUAACAGCAGCCCGAGCUAAUGGCUAACAGCAGCCCGAGCUAACGGCUAACAGCAGCCCGAGCUAACAGCUAACA